GUUUAGGCUAGUCACAUCUUGACAGCUAUUGUCCUGGUGUGCUAGAAUUCUCAGAGAGAAUCUGCUGGUCUUGAUUCACUGACUCUGGCAGUAAGUCCCCCCGCUAGUGCUCAGAUCAGAAACAUAG